rnacentral:rRNA from 1 species
UACGUAGGGUGCAAGCGUUAAUCGGAAUUACUGGGCGUAAAGCGUGCGCAGGCGGUUUUGUAAGUCUGUCGUGAAAUCCCCGGGCUCAACCUGGGAAUUGCGAUGGAGACUGCAAGGCUAGAAUCUGGCAGAGGGGGGGUAGAAUUCCACGUGUAGCAGUGAAAUGCGUAGAGAUGUGGAGGAACACCGAUGGCGAAGGCAGCCCCCUGGGUCAAGAUUGACGCUCAUGCACGAAAGGCGUGGGGAGCAAACGAGGAUUACGAAACCC